rnacentral:rRNA from 1 species
AACGAACGCUGGCGGCAUGCCUAACACAUGCAAGUCGAACGAGACCUUCGGGUCUAGUGGCGCACGGGUGCGUAACGCAUGGGAACCUGCCCUUAGGUUCGGAAUAACUCCCCGAAAGGGGUGCUAAUACCGGAUAAUGUCUUCGGACCAAAGAUUUAUCGCCUUUGGAUGGGCCCGCGUUGGAUUAGCUAGUUGGUAGGGUAAAAGCCUACCAAGGCGACGAUCCAUAGCUGGUCUGAGAGGAUGAUCAGCCACACUGGGACUGAGAUACGGCCCAGACUCCUACGGGAGGCAGCAGUGGGGAAUAUUGGACAAUGGGCGAAAGCCUGAUCCAGCAAUGCCGCGUGAGUGAUGAAGGCCUUAGGGUUGUAAAGCUCUUUUACCCGGGAUGAUAAUGACAGUACCGGGAGAAUAAGCUCCGGCUAACUCCGUG